ACAUUCUUGUUGAUAUGGGAAUGAAUCUAUUUUCAAGUUCAGGAUGAUUAUCUGGAUUGUUUUUCUGAUCCAAAGGUUCUUGGUAAGAUUGGAACAGACAUUGAAGACUUUAAGUGCUCUUGGUUGGUUGUGAAAGCACUGGAACUUUGUAACGAGGAACAAAA